rnacentral:rRNA from 1 species
UACGUAGGGGGCGAGCGUUGUCCGGAUUUAUUGGGCGUAAAGAGCUCGUAGGCGGCUUAGCAAGUCGGGUGUGAAAACUCCAGGCUCAACCUGGAGACGCCACUCGAGACUGCUAUGGCUAGAGUCCGGUAGGGGACCACGGAAUUCCUGGUGUAGCGGUGAAAUGCGCAGAUAUCAGGAGGAACACCGGUGGCGAAGGCGGAUCUCUGGGCCGUAACUGACGCUGAGGAGCGAAAGCAUGGGGAGCGAACAGG